AGAUUAAGCCAUGCAUGUCUAAGUAUAAGCAAUCUAUACGGUGAAACUGCGAAUGGCUCGGAAUUUAAUGGGCCGUUCGAUCGUGGAAUAGCGGGGUCCGCCCCCGUAACACUGCCCAAGUGUGGGAACCAUACGCUGGAACUCGCAGCCAGGACUUCUGGUUCAACGACUACAAGGCAUUUGGCCGGGGACUUCCCCGGUUAAGAUAUAGUCUCACUCCCGGAGCGAUCC
rnacentral:rRNA from 1 species